GCCAAUGGGGAGGAAAUGUGCAAUCCCUCUGAGAAUGGGGAUGGGGCAAUUGAAGAACAGGAAGCACCAGUGCCUGAGGUUGUUGAUGAAAUUCCCAAUGACUCGCAGAUGGUGGUUGAUUCACAGAUAGUGGCUGAAUCUAAUGCUAAGAUUGUAGAAGUGCCAAAGAAGUCAUAUGCAUCAAUUUUGAAAGUUAUGAGGGAGAACGCUGCACCUUUUUCUAGUCCUGCCCCUUUU
rnacentral:misc_RNA from 1 species